rnacentral:rRNA from 1 species
UUAGGAAUCUUGCACAAUGGGGGAAACCCUGAUGCAGCGACACCGCGUGAAGGAUGAAGAUUUUCGGAUUGUAAACUUCUUUUGUAGUCUAACAAGUUCUGAGUGGACUACGAAUAAGCACCUGCUAACUGCGUGCCAGAAGCAUCGGUGAUGCGUGGGGUGCGAGCGUUAUCCGGAUUUAUUGGGCGUAAAGAGAAGCGUAGGUGUUUCGGUAAGUCUAUUGUUAAAGUCUCCGGCUCAACUGGAGGUGUGCAAUGGAAACUGUCGAAAUUGAGGCAGAGAGAGGAAAGUAGAAUUCCCGGUGGAGCGGUGAAAUGUGUUGAUAUCGGGAGGAAUACCAGUGGCGAAGGCGACUUUCUGGCUCUGUUCUGACACUAAGGCUCGAAAGCGUGGGUAGCAAAACGG